CUUGAAAGACACAUUGGAAGCUCGCGUGAUGCUUUUACUAGUUUAUAGUUUCCAUGCCCUUUACUAUAUCUCCUAGUUUCAAUGCUCCUUUAUUUCUCCUAGUUUCAAUGCUCUAUCUUUAUUUCUUUGAUGAUAUAAGCCCAAUUUAUUGUAGAAGACAGAUGACUUUUGAUAAAUGAAAAACUUUGCUUGAAGCAAGUAUCGUGAACCUUGUAGACAGUUCAACCCUUGAAAACCUAGGAGAGUUUUCACUUCGUCCUUGAAGAGUCGGAGCUUUCGAAAUUUGCAUCCUUGAAGAGUUGCAGUCAUUGAUCUAGAAGAAUCGGUGCCCCCUCAACUUCGUUGGAGGCCUAGAAGAGCAACCAACGGAGUCUGUGUCUUUUCCUGUUCUGUUCGUUACUUCCAACCCAAUUUCGACUAUCCUACAAUGCUUAUUUCAGAAAACCCAAAACAGAGAAAUUGUAGAUCCAGAAGUCUUUGUUCAUUUGGUUUUGGAAUCAGGUCGAUCCGAUCUGUAUCGACAAAGAUACGACUGUUCUCCUGAGCUUGCGUAGUGUUUGUCCUGUUUCUUGUGUGCAAGUCACUCUCCCGAUCCUGCUGUUUGAGAAAGCCUACCCUAGGCUUGCAUCAUUUGGUAUCAGAGCUUGCUUUGGAGGAGAGGACAAUGCCUCCAAGACAAGCUAGGCGUCGUGGCGGCAGAACCGUUCCCCUCAAUGAAUUGCACACACUCGCUAAGAAUAUGCAACAACAAAUUGACGAAUUGACGCAAGAAGUUCAGCGUUUGAGGGCUGAAGCAAAUAAUUCUCCACCUUGUUCCAGGACUGAAGAUUCCCAUGGUGACUCUUCCUCUUCGGAGAGUGUUCAACCUAUUCACGAUCGGAGGCAUGUUCGACAUCGUUUACAACAUAUCCGUGAGCUAGAUUGGGAAAAGGAAGUCAAGAAAGAUGUUCCAGAAUUUACAGGUAAUGAAUCUCCCGAUGAAAUUGUUGAUUGGCUAACACUUGUGAAUGAGGUGUUUGAGCAUCGAAAUGUUCCGGAGAAUCGUCGAGUUGGGAUCAUUGCUAUGCGAUUCCGAGGCAAGGCGAUUGCUUGGUGGAGACGUGAAAAACAAAAUUUUUUCACACUCGCCAAGCCGUUGGCAAAGCACCAGUCACUUCGUGGAGAAAGAUGGAGGGCAAGAUUCAAAAAUAUUUUCUUCCCAAAGGAUAUAAGAGAGAGCUCUACCAACGGUACCAAAAUCUAAAACAAGGUACGCAAACGGUGGACCAAUACACCAAUGAAUUCAAUGAGUUGGUGAUUUGUAACAAUAUCCAAAAUCCAGAAGAGGUGCUUGUGAACAAAUACUUGAACGGUCUUCAAUUUUACAUUCAAGAUGCCUUGGAAGUUCUCGACAUUUGGGACUUAGGAGAUGCACACCAACGAGCACUCAAAAUGGAGCGCUCUCGUUUUCGGAGACAGCAAUUUGUUAGUAAGCUUUCUACUCAACCCCAUGUUUCGAAGCAACCUGCUACGUUCGAAAUAUGUUGCUAUUUUUGUGGGGAGUUGGGUCAUUGUGUUAGCAAUUGUCGAAUCAAUAAGAAUCGACCAGCCGGUAAAGCCUUUUUGGUGGAUGAUGAUUCUGAUGAGAAUGCUAAGAAUCCACUUGAAGAGGAGUUGAAAAAUGAUGAAGAAGCUGCGGAUGAUGAACAAAUAGUGCAUGCUGACAUUGGCGAGAAAUCUUUUCUUACUCCUCGAGACGACAUUGGAGAUAGGUGGCUGCGUACCAAUAUUUUUCAUUCUGCUUGCACAAUCAUGGGAAAUGUGUGUCAAUUAAUUAUUGACUCUAGUUGUUGUGAGAAUAUAAUUUCUGAAGUAGCGACAAACAAGCUGAAGUUGGAAUUAAAAACGCAUCCUACGCCUUAUAAAAUGUUGUGGUUGAAGAUAGGUGUUGAGGUAACUGUUUCAAAACGAUGCCUUGUUAAUCUGUCCUUAUAAAAUGUUGUGGUUGAAGAUAGGUGCUGAGGUAACUGUUUCAAAACGAUCCCUUGUUAAUCUGUCCAUUGGUUCUGUUUAUAAUGACAAGAUAUGGUGUGAUGUUCUACCGAUGGAUGCUAGUCACAUUAUUCGGUCGACCAUGGCAAUUCGAUAAGAGGACUAUGCAUGAUGGUUAUCGAAAUACAUAUUCUUUUGAAUUUGGAGGCACGAAGAUUACGUUGGCACCUAGUAGGGUGGGAGAUUCUUCUGAUGAUGAUGGCGAGAAUUUGAGGAUGAAUUCUUUUAAAGAUGGGGAAGAAUUCGAGGACGAAUUCUUUUAAAGAUGGGGAGGAUGAUGCAGCCCGCAUUAAAGACCAGCUCUCUCGACCAAAAAGAUCGGCCCGCAUUCAAGCUCAACGAAAUCGAGAAGCUGUAUCGACAUCUUGAGUCCAUCCCGAAAACUUGAAAGACACCUUGGAAGCUCGCGUGACGCUUUUACUAGUUUAUAGUUUUCAUGCCCUUUACUAUAUCUCCUAGUUUCAAUGCUCCUUUAUUUCUCCUAGUUUCAAUGCUCUAUCUUUAUUUCUUUGAUGAUAUAAGCCCAAUUUCUUGUAGAAGACAUAUGACUUUUGAUAAAUGAAAAACUUUGCUUGAAGCAAGUAUGGUGAACCUUGUAGAGUUCAACCCUUGAAAACCUAGAAGAGUUUUCACUCCGUCCUUGAAGAGUCGGAGCUUUCGAAAUCUGCAUCCUUGAAGAGUUGCAGUCAUCGAUCUAGAAGAAUCGGUGCCCC
rnacentral:lncRNA from 1 species